AUUGAACGCUGGCGGCAUGCCUUACACAUGCAAGUCGAACGGCAGCGGGGACUUCGGUCCGCCGGCGAGUGGCGAACGGGUGAGUAAUGUAUCGGAACGUACCAUUCAGUGGGGGAUAACUAUCCGAAAGGAUAGCUAAUACCGCAUAUUCUGUGAGCAGGAAAGCAGGGGAUCGCAAGACCUUGCGCUGAUUGAGCGGCCGAUAUCAGAUUAGCUAGUUGGUGAGGUAACGGCUCACCAAGGCUACGAUCUGUAGCGGGUCUGAGAGGAUGAUCCGCCACACUGGGACUGAGACACGGCCCAGACUCCUACGGGAGGCAGCAGUGGGGAAUUUUGGACAAUGGGCGCAGCCUGAUCCAGCCAUGCCGCGUGAGUGAAGAAGGCCUUCGGGUUGUAAAGCUCUUUCGGCCAGGAAGAAAUCGCAUCAGCUAAUACCUGGUGUGGAUGACGGUACCGGAAUAAGAAGCACCGGCUAACUACGUGCCAGCCGCCGCCGUAAAAC
rnacentral:rRNA from 1 species